rnacentral:rRNA from 1 species
UACAGAGGUGACAAACGUUGUCCGGAAUUAUUGGGCGUAAAGGGCGCGUAGGUGGUUGAGUAAGUCAGACGUGAAAUCCCUCGGCUUAACCGGGGAACUGCAUCUGAUACUGGAUGGCUAGAGAUUGGGAGAGGGAUGCGGAAUUCCAGGUGUAGCGGUGAAAUGCGUAGAUAUUCGCAAGAACACCAGUGGCGAAGGCGGCCGACUGGUCCGGUUCUGACGCUGAGGCGCGAAAGCGUGGGGAGCAAACAGG